UACGAAGGGUGCAAGCGUUACUCGGAAUUACUGGGCGUAAAGCGUGCGUAGGUGGUUUUUUAAGUCCGUUGUGAAAGCCCUGGGCUCAACCUGGGAAUGGCAGUGGAUACUGGAAAGCUAGAGUGCGGUAGAGGGUAGUGGAAUUCCCGGUGUAGCAGUGAAAUGCGUAGAGAUCGGGAGGAACACCAGUGGCGAAGGCGACUACCUGGACCAGCACUGACACUGAGGCACGAAAGCGUGGGGAGCAAACAGG
rnacentral:rRNA from 1 species